GUUCUUUGGGGGCCUGAAGCCCACGGAGAGGGCCUUGCCUUGGCUGCACCCACACGGCAGUUCUGCUGACCAAGUGCUUGGCAGCCAGGCUCCUCCUCGCCGGUGGGCACUGGGUGCCUUCUGAGUGUCACAGCCUGAGCCCGCCGGCCGUGCUGAGGUGUUGGUGACACCAUCCCUGUGAGCAGAGGGGCCUCCCUGCUGGCCUGGAGGAGCCCCGCUGGUGGGGAGGGAGACGGGCUCCUCCAAGGAGCAGGGCUGCUCGCUUCCCGGCAGUGCCCCCUUGGCCUGCCCCAGUGCCCCGUGGCACCUGCCCCUUCUCCUCCCAUGAGCGGAAGCUGCCGGGAUCUGGUCAGUCCUGGAGACCAGGCAGCUGAGGGGCAGGUCCUGCUCAGAACCAGCUGCAGGCAGGGCCAGCUGGCCAGCGGCUUCAGGGACGGGGGAGUGUGCUGUCUGAUCACCUCCUGAGUGAUCCCCAGGGACCAGAAUGACGGCCAACAGCAGUGGGAGCCAGAGAGCGGCUGGGCUGACCUCCAGGGCCAGGGUCUCUUUGGGAGCCUGUGGUCACUGAAGAAAGACCCCCCCAGCCAGAAUCUCAUCCCUUAUCAGGUGUUUCCUGGAUCUUCAGACCCUUCGGGGACCUACCCCUUGACCCUGGUUGAACUUGAGGAGCCAAAGUCUAGCUAGGGCCUGAGUGGGGAGUGGCCUCAGGGCCACCGAGGGAGAGGACAGGCAGGGCGGGCUUGUGGGUCGUGGGAAAGCCCGUGUCCCCUGGGAGCCGCCUUCCGUGCUGCUUUCAAAAUGCUCUUGUCCUGGUUCCGCUUUAAUGAACUCCAGGACGGGGACAUGUCGCUGUCAUUGUGUCAACCCCAAGCAGAGGGGCCUCGCUCCGCAGCCUCCUGGGGCUCGAGGGGCAGGAGGACAGACAGGGAAACACGCUUGUUGAGGCCACGGCGCGUCUGACAUGUGGCCAUAUCCAUGUCAAAGAAGUCUUGGCCCCCGUGUUGGACUUCCGGAAGUCCCUCCCGGGUGGCUUCAGGAAUUGCAGAUCUGACGGAGAGAUGGGAGAGGCAGGAUUUGCCACUGAGAAAAUAAUCUUGGGGUUUUGUUUUGAAUUGUAAAAACCUGAAUGAAAAAUCGCUGCUGACUGUCUGGUGGGAGAUGCAUGGUCUCAUAACGGCCUCUCAUUGAUUCCUUUCAGGGUUUUGUUAAGACUGAAAAGCUCUCAGCAGCAGGCAGCCCGGGCAGGAGUGCGUGAGCACGGGACGAGGGGCGCAGGGCCAGUCCCCAACCCAGGACAAGGCCCGCAGCUGCAGAGCGGCACAAGCC
rnacentral:lncRNA from 1 species